rnacentral:rRNA from 1 species
ACGAACGCUGGCGGCAUGCCUAACACAUGCAAGUCGAACGAGACCUUCGGGUCUAGUGGCGCACGGGUGCGUAACGCGUGGGAACCUGCCCUUAGGUUCGGAAUAACUCCCCGAAAGGGGUGCUAAUACCGGAUAAUGUCUUCGGACCAAAGAUUUAUCGCCUUUGGAUGGGCCCGCGUUGGAUUAGCUAGUUGGUAGGGUAAAAGCCUACCAAGGCGACGAUCCAUAGCUGGUCUGAGAGGAUGAUCAGCCACACUGGGACUGAGACACGGCCCAGACUCCUACGGGAGGCAGCAGUGGGGAAUAUUUGACAAUGGGCGAAAGCCUGAUCCAGCAAUGCCGCGUGAGUGAUGAAGGCCUUAGGGUUGUAAAGCUCUUUUACCCGGGAUGAUAAUGACAGUACCGGGAGAAUAAGCUCCGGCUAACUCCGU